rnacentral:rRNA from 1 species
AGAGUUUGAUCCUGGCUCAGGACGAACGCUGGCGGCGUGCUUAACACAUGCAAGUCGAACGAUGAACACCGGAGCUUGCUCUGGUGGGAUUAGUGGCGAACGGGUGAGUAACACGUGAGCAAUCUGCCCCCGACUCUGGGAUAACCCCGAGAAAUCGGAGCUAAUACCGGAUACGACACCUCCUGGCAUCAGGUGGGUGUGGAAAGAAUUUCGGUUGGGGAUGAGCUCGCGGCCUAUCAGCUUGUUGGUGAGGUAAUGGCUCACCAAGGCGACGACGGGUAGCCGGCCUGAGAGGGUGACCGGCCACACUGGGACUGAGACACGGCCCAGACUCCUACGGGAGGCAGCAGUGGGGAAUAUUGCACAAUGGGCGCAAGCCUGAUGCAGCAACGCCGCGUGGGGGACGACGGCCUUCGGGUUGUAAACCUCUUUUGGCAGGGAAGAAGCGAAAGUGACGGUACCUGCAGAAAAAGCACCGGCUAACUACGUGCCAGCAGCCGCGGUAAUACGUAGGGUGCAAGCGUUGUCCGGAAUUAUUGGGCGUAAAGAGCUCGUAGGCGGUGUGUCACGUCUGCUGUGAAAAUCCAAGGCUCAACCUUGGACUUGCAGUGGGUACGGGCACACUCGAGUGCGGUAGGGGAGAUUGGAAUUCCUGGUGUAGCGGUGGAAUGCGCAGAUAUCAGGAGGAACACCGAUGGCGAAGGCAGAUCUCUGGGCCGUAACUGACGCUGAGGAGCGAAAGCGUGGGGAGCGAACAGGAUUAGAUACCCUGGUAGUCCACGCCGUAAACGGUGGGAACUAGAUGUGGGGUCCGUUCCACGGAUUCCGUGUCGCAGCUAACGCAUUAAGUUCCCCGCCUGGGGAGUACGGCCGCAAGGCUAAAACUCAAAGGAAUUGACGGGGGCCCGCACAAGCGGCGGAGCAUGCGGAUUAAUUCGAUGCAACGCGAAGAACCUUACCAAGGCUUGACAUAUAGAGGAAAAGUGCAGAGAUGCACUCCC